rnacentral:rRNA from 1 species
UUAGUCUUGCCGGUGGAUCACUCGGCUCGUAGGUCGAUGAAGAUNGCAGCCAAAUGCGAUAGNUAGUGCGAACUGCAGAUAUUCCGAGCACUAAGGUGUCGAAUGUACAUUACGCCUUCGGAUUUACAUCCGUUGGCACGCCUGGUUCAGGGUCGU